UACAGAGGGGGCAAGCGUUAUUCGGAAUUACUGGGCGUAAAGGGCUCGUAGGCGGCCAACUAAGUCAGACGUGAAAUCCCUCGGCUUAACCGGGGAACUGCGUCUGAUACUGGAUGGCUCGAGUUUGGGAGAGGGAUGCGGAAUUCCAGGUGUAGCGGUGAAAUGCGUAGAUAUCUGGAGGAACACCGGUGGCGAAGGCGGCAUCCUGGACCAACACUGACGCUGAUGAGCGAAAGCCAGGGGAGCAAACGGG
rnacentral:rRNA from 1 species